UCCGCUGGGUAUUUUUGCGCGUCAAAACAUUGCGUCUCUGCAGGACUUACCAGGGCCAGCGAGAAGAAGAAAUUUGCCUGGGAAGGAAUGCGAAAGGGGGUUUAGGAUUGGCACUGCCACGAGGAAAACGAGGAGGUGCGACAUUUUUUAGACUACGUGGAUAUCCGCUUUUUCUUCCCCUCAGAGGUGUUCACCUCCCAACCCACCGCCCACCACGGCCCUCACCUGUGUGUUGCGGUGCUUCCCCUGUGAGCCGACCUGGGCUGGCAGUCCCUUCUUGCACCGCCCGCCAACCCCGCCCAUGGUCAGAAUGACGCGCUCCAAGACCUUCCAGGCAUAUCUGCCGAGCUGCCACCGAACCUACAGCUGCAUCCACUGCCGAGCUCACCUGGCCAACCACGACGAGCUCAUCUCCAAGUCGUUCCAGGGCAGCCAAGGCAGAGCCUACCUGUUCAACUCAGUGGUGAACGUCGGGUGUGGCCCUGCAGAGGAGAGAGUUCUGCUCACAGGCCUGCAUGCUGUAGCGGAUAUCUACUGUGAGAACUGCAAGACGACCCUGGGCUGGAAAUACUUUCUUAGUGGUGAGAGACACAUUUCUGCCAAGAUGUGAUGAUCCAGUCCAGUCAGAAUUUUGGUUCUGCAGGCUGUUGUGCAGUGUUUAGUGACUGACGGUUAUAUAACCAGCUUCCAAAGUGCCAGUAGCAGACAGGCCAGGAUUGAGUCAAGGAUUUUCAUAUACAGCUGAAGACUGUCAUGAGCAGUUUUCUAAGCUACGAACAUGCCUUUGAGAGCAGUCAGAAGUAUAAAGAGGGCAAGUUCAUCAUCGAGCUGGCCCACAUGAUCAAGGACAACGGCUGGGACUGACGGACGAGCAGCCGGG